CCUUGCGCGACUGGCGAAUCCUGGGGCUGCAGCAGCGGCCCUUAGUUAGUGGGCACCGACCACGAGGAAGCGCAAGGUUUCUGGCGUCAUGCACAACGACGCCUGCCGCUCGCCUGGGCAGC
rnacentral:ncRNA from 1 species